CAGCAGCCACGGUAAUACGUAGGUGGCAAGCGUUGUCCGGAGUUAUUGGGCGUAAAGGGCUCGCAGGCGGUUUCUUAAGUCUGAUGUGAAAGCCCCCGGCUCAACCGGGGAGGGUCAUUGGAAACUGGGAAACUUGAGUGCAGAAGAGGAGAGUGGAAUUCCACGUGUAGCGGUGAAAUGCGUAGAGAUGUGGAGGAACACCAGUGGCGAAGGCGACUCUCUGGUCUGUAACUGACGCUGAGGAGCGAAAGCGUGGGGAGCGAACAGGAUUAGAUACCCCUGUAGUCCCUGUCUCUUAUAC
rnacentral:rRNA from 1 species